rnacentral:rRNA from 1 species
AACGAACGCUGGCGGCAGGCCUAACACAUGCAAGUCGAGCGAGGUAGCAAUACCUAGCGGCGGACGGGUGAGUAACGCGUGGGAACGUACCCUUUGCUACGGAAUAGCCCCGGGAAACUGGGAGUAAUACCGUAUGUGCCCUUCGGGGGAAGAUUUAUCGGCAAAGGAUCGGCCCGCGUUGGAUUAGGUAGUUGGUGGGGUAAUGGCCUACCAAGCCGACGAUCCAUAGCUGGUUUGAGAGGAUGAUCAGCCACACUGGGACUGAGACACGGCCCAGACUCCUACGGGAGGCAGCAGUGGGGAAUCUUAGACAAUGGGCGCAAGCCUGAUCUAGCCAUGCCGCGUGAGUGAUGAAGGCCUUAGGGUUGUAAAGCUCUUUCAGAUGGGAAGAUAAUGACGGUACCAUCAGAAGAAGCCCCGGCUAACUCCGUGCCAGCAGCCGCGGUAAAGUCG